UUGCCCGUCCACCCAUGGGAGUGGGUUGCUCCAGAAGUAGCUAGUCUAACCGCAAGGGGGACGGUUACCACGGAGUGAUUCAUGACUGGGGUGAAGUCGUAACAAGGUAGCCGUAGGGGAACCUGCGGCUGGAUCACCUCCUUAAUCGAAGAUCUCAGCUUCUUCAUAAGCUCCCACACGAAUUGCUUGAUUCACUGGUUAGACGAUUGGGUCUGUAGCUCAGUUGGUUAGAGCGCACCCCUGAUAAGGGUGAGGUCGGCAGUUCGAAUCUGCCCAGACCCACCAAUUGUUGGUGUGCUGCGUGAUCCGAUACGGGGCCAUAGCUCAGCUGGGAGAGCGCCUGCUUUGCACGCAGGAGGUCAGGAGUUCGAUCCUCCUUGGCUCCACCAUCCAAACAAUCGUCGAAAGCUCAGAAAUGAAUGUUCGUGAAUGAACAUUGAUUUCUGGUCUUUGCACCAGAACUGUUCUUUAAAAAUUCGGGUAUGUGAUAGAAGUAAGACUGAAUGAUCUCUUUCACUGGUGAUCAUUCAAGUCAAGGUAAAAUUUGCGAGUUCAAGCGCGAAUUUUCGGCGAAUGUCGUCUUCACAGUAUAACCAGAUUGCUUGGGGUUAUAUGGUCAAGUGAAGAAGCGCAUACGGUGGAUGCCUUGGCCCAAAAGGCCAAA
rnacentral:misc_RNA from 1 species